rnacentral:rRNA from 1 species
UACGGAGGGUGCGAGCGUUGUCCGGAAUCAUUGGGCGUAAAGGGCGCGUAGGUGGCCCGGCAAGCGUGCGGUGAAAGUCGGGGGCUCAACCCCCGAUCGGCCGUGCGAACUGCGGGGCUGGAGCACUGUAGAGGCAGGCGGAAUUCCGGGUGUAGCGGUGGAAUGCGUAGAGAUCCGGAAGAACACCGGUGGCGAAGGCGGCCUGCUGGGCAGUUUUGCUGACACUGAGGCGCGACAGCGUGGGGAGCAAACGGG